rnacentral:rRNA from 1 species
GACGAACGCUGGCGGCGUGCCUAAUACAUGCAAGUCGAACGCAGUGGGGACGGGUGAGUAACACGUGGGUCACCUCCCAUCAGAGGGGAUAACACUUGGAAACAGGUGCUAACCCGAUACCGAUGGAUGGACCCGCGGUGCAUUAGCUAGUUGGUGAGGUAACGGCUCACCAAGGCCACGAUGCAUAGCCGACCUGGGAGGGGGAUGGGCCACACUGGGACUGGGACACGGCCCAGACUCCUACGGGAGGCAUCAGUAGGAAAUCUUCGGCAAUGGACGAAAGGCUGACCGACAAACGCCGCGUAAGUGAAGAAGGUUUUCGGAUCGUAAGACUCUGUUGUUAGAGAAGCGGUAGCUAACCAGAAAGCCACGGCUAACUACGUGCCAGCAGCCGCGGUAAUUC